UGGUUGAUCCUGCCAGUAGUGUAUGCUUUUCCUAAAGACUAAGCCAUGCAUGUCUUCGAAUAAGAGGAAGCAAUUCUCUCUGAAUCUGCGUACGGCUCCGCACACCAGUUGUAAACCAAAGCAAGCAAGCCCGGUCUCGACGCCUUUCGGGGCUAGGGGCCGGGCUACAAGGAUAACCCUGGUAAUUCUGAGGCUAAUACUUGACACGGAACCUGCUGACUGGGCCUCGGUCCGGGAGGUAGGGGAUGUGCGACCAUCGGGCCAAAGAAACCGGAAAGAGCGCACGUUCAGACCACUUAAAAAGGCCACGGGGUCCCUCGGGAUCCCGGGGCUGUGGCUCUUGCAGCGUGCUUCUGACCUAUCAACUAGACGGCAGCCUAAGGGACAUGCUUUGGUGACAACGGGUACAGAGGAUAAGGGUUCGAUCCUGGAGAGUGGGCCUGAGAGAUUGCUCAUACUUCUAAGGAAGGCAGCAGGCGCGCAACGUUCCCAUUGGACAUCGUCUGAGGGCGUUAGGGGAAAUAUUAAUACCUGCCCAAUGGGUGGGUAAUUAAAAUGGGUCUGUUCUAAACAGGCUCUCGAGUAACAAUUAGAGGACAAGUC
rnacentral:rRNA from 1 species